rnacentral:rRNA from 1 species
GACGAACGCUGGCGGCGUGCCUAAUACAUGCAAGUAGAACGCUGAAGGAAGGAGCUUGCUCUUUCUGGAUGAGUUGCGAACGGGUGAGUAACGCGUAGGUAACCUGCCUGGUAGCGGGGGAUAACUAUUGGAAACGAUAGCUAAUACCGCAUAAAAUUGAUUAUUGCAUGAUAGUCAAUUAAAAGGUGCAACUGCACCACUGCCAGAUGGACCUGCGUUGUAUUAGCUAGUUGGUGGGGUAACGGCUCACCAAGGCGACGAUACAUAGCCGACCUGAGAGGGUGAUCGGCCACACUGGGACUGAGACACGGCCCAGACUCCUACGGGAGGCAGCAGUAGGGAAUCUUCGGCAAUGGACGGAAGUCUGACCGAGCAACGCCGCGUGAGUGAAGAAGGUUUUCGGAUCGUAAAGCUCUGUUGUAAGAGAAGAACGAGUGUGAGAGUGGAAAGUUCACACUGUGACGGUAUCUGACCAGAAAGGGACGGCUAACUACGUG